rnacentral:rRNA from 1 species
CUACGGGUGGCACCAGUGGGGAAUAUUGCACAAUGGGCGCAAGCCUGAUGCAGCCAUGCCGCGUGUAUGAAGAAGGCCUUCGGGUUGUAAAGUACUUUCAGCGGGGAGGAAGGGAGUAAAGUUAAUACCUUUGCUCAUUGACGUUACCCGCAGAAGAAGCACCGGCUAACUCCGUGCCAGCAGCCGCGGUAAUACGGAGGGGUGCAAGCGUUAAUCGGAAUUACUGGGCGUAAAGCGCACGCAGGCGGUUUGUUAAGUCAGAUGUGAAAUCCCCGGGCUCAACCUGGGAACUGCAUCUGAUACUGGCAAGCUUGAGUCUCGUAGAGGGGGGUAGAAUUCCAGGUGUAGCGGUGAAAUGCGUAGAGAUCUGGAGGAAUACCGGUGGCGAAGGCGGCCCCCUGGACGAAGACUGACGCUCAGGUGCGAAAGCGUGGGGAGCAAACAGGAUUAGAUACCCCAGUAGUC